rnacentral:rRNA from 1 species
ACGCUGGCGGCGUGCCUAAUACAUGCAAGUAGAACGCUGAAGAGAGGAGCUUGCUCUUCUUGGAUGAGUUGCGAACGGGUGAGUAACGCGUAGGUAACCUGCCUUGUAGCGGGGGAUAACUAUUGGAAACGAUAGCUAAUACCGCAUAACAAUGGAUGACUCAUGUCAUUUAUUUGAAAGGGGCAAAUGCUCCACUACAAGAUGGACCUGCGUUGUAUUAGCUAGUAGGUGAGGUAACGGCUCACCUAGGCGACGAUACAUAGCCGACCUGAGAGGGUGAUCGGCCACACUGGGACUGAGACACGGCCCAGACUCCUACGGGAGGCAGCAGUAGGGAAUCUUUGGCAAUGGGGGCAACCCUGACCGAGCAACGCCGCGUGAGUGAAGAAGGUUUUCGGAUCGUAAAGCUCUGUUGUAAGUCAAGAACGAGUGUGAGAGUGGAAAGUUCACACUGUGACGGUAGCUUACCAGAAAGGGACGGCUAACUACGUGCCAGCAGCCGCGGUAAUACGUAGGUCCCGAGCGUUGUCCGGAUUUAUUGGGCGUAAAGCGAGCGCAGGCGGUUUGAUAAGUCUGAAGUUAAAGGCUGUGGCUCAACCAUAGUUCGCUUUGGAAACUGUCAAACUUGAGUGCAGAAGGGGAGAGUGGAAUUCCAUGUGUAGCGGUGAAAUGCGUAGAUAUAUGGAGGAACACCGGUGGCGAAAGCGGCUCUCUGGUCUGUAACUGACGCUGAGGCUCGAAAGCGUGGGGAGCGAACAGGAUUAGAUACCCUGGUAGUCCACGCCGUAAACGAUGAGUGCUAGGUGUUGGAUCCUUUCCGGGAUUCAGUGCCGCAGCUAACGCAUUAAGCACUCCGCCUGGGGAGUACGACCGCAAGGUUGAAACUCAAAGGAAUUGACGGGGGCCCGCA